rnacentral:rRNA from 2 species
UGGGGAAUUUUCGGCAAUGGGGGAAACCCUGACCGAGCAAUGCCGCGUGAAUGAUGAAGUAUUUCGGUAUGUAAAAUUCUUUUAUAGAGGACGAACGUUAUGUGGAGGAAAUGCCAUAUAAGUGACGGUACUUUAUGAAUAAGCCCCGGCUAACUAUGUGCCAGCAGCCGCGGUAAUACAUAGGGGGCAAGCGUUAUCCGGAAUUAUUGGGCGUAAAGGGUGCGUAGGCGGCAUAUUAAGUCUGAGGUGAAAGUGCGGGGCUCAACCCCGUGAUGCCUUGGAAACUGGUAAGCUAGAGUGUGGUAGAGGCAAGUGGAACUCCAUGUGUAGCGGUAAAAUGCGUAAAUAUAUGGAAGAACACCAGUGGCGAAGGCGGCUUGCUAGGCCAUUACUGACGCUGAGGCACGAAAGCGUGGGGAGCAAACAGG